rnacentral:rRNA from 1 species
GAUGAACGCUGGCGGCGUGCCUAAUACAUGCAAGUCGAGCGAACAGACGAGGAGCUUGCUCCUUUGACGUUAGCGGCGGACGGGUGAGUAACACGUAGGUAACCUACCUAUAAGACUGGGAUAACUUCGGGAAACCGGAGCUAAUACCGGAUAAUAUUUCGAACCGCAUGGUUCGAUAGUGAGAGAUGGCUUUGCUAUCACUUAUAGAUGGACCUGCGCCGUAUUAGCUAGUUGGUAAGGUAACGGCUUACCAAGGCAACGAUACGUAGCCGACCUGAGAGGGUGAUCGGCCACACUGGAACUGAGACACGGUCCAGACUCCUACGGGAGGCAGCAGUAGGGAAUCUUCCGCAAUGGGCGAAAGCCUGACGGAGCAACGCCGCGUGAGUGAUGAAGGUCUUCGGAUCGUAAAACUCUGUUAUUAGGGAAGAACAAACGUGUAAGUAACUGUGCACGUCUUGACGGUACCUAAUCAGAAAGCCACGGCUAACUACGUG